UCUCGCCUCACUACCACGGUCAGCUCCUGCGUGUUGGAGAGCAGAGCGUUCACUGCUUCCUGGUGGGUUGCGUGGCGCAGGUCAAUGCUGUUCACCUCCAGGAUCCUGUCCCCUACCCGGAGCCCACUGCGAGACGCCAACCCACGGGGAAUGACCUUUGAAAUGAAAACCCCUGGCUCAUGAAUCCCAAACGGGUGGCUCGAAUGGUCGCUGCCUCCCACGAUGCUGAGCCCCAGAGGACCUCCUGCUUUUACGAGGUGAAUUUCCUCAAUGGGGUACUGAUCCUCCAGGCCUUUAGAGAGCUGGUUCCUCUGCAGCGAAGGCAUCUCCUCUGCUGGGCUCUCCCCAUGGCUGGGGGGUGGUGGUGGGGAGUGCAUGCGCACCCACGGUGCGCCGGGCGCGUCUCCCUCGCUGGGCUGCUCUGCACCCUCUCUCUCUACCAGCAGGACGAUGGUGGGGGAGGAUGCGGUAAGCAGCGCUACGGCCUGAUCAUGCCUGGCUUCUGUCAUGUCUACCCCAUUGAUCGAGAUGACCCGGUCUCCUACGUGCAGGAUCCCAUCCCGAUGGGCUGCACCUCCCUCUGCGAUCCGUGAG
rnacentral:lncRNA from 1 species